rnacentral:rRNA from 1 species
AUUGAACGCUGGCGGCAGGCUUAACACAUGCAAGUCGAGCGGAGAGAGGUAGCUUGCUACUGAUCUUAGCGGCGGACGGGUGAGUAAUGCUUAGGAAUCUGCCUAUUAGUGGGGGACAACAUUUCGAAAGGAAUGCUAAUACCGCAUACGUCCUACGGGAGAAAGCAGGGGAUCUUCGGACCUUGCGCUAAUAGAUGAGCCUACGUCGGAUUAGCUAGUUGGUGGGGUAAAGGCCUACCAAGGCGACGAUCUGUAGCGGGUCUGAGAGGAUGAUCCGCCACACUGGGACUGAGACACGGCCCAGACUCCUACGGGAGGCAGCAGUGGGGAAUAUUGGACAAUGGGCGGAAGCCUGAUCCAGCCAUGCCGCGUGUGUGAAGAAGGCCUUAUGGUUGCAAAGCACUUUAAGCGGGGAGGAGGCUACUUUAGUUAAUACCUAGAGAUAGUGGACGUUACUCGCAGAAUAAGCACCGGCUAACUCUGUGCCAGCAGCCGCCGUAA